AGCGUGCGUAGGCGGCUUUUUUAAGUCGGAUGUGAAAUCCCCCGAGCUUAACUUGGGAAUUGCAUUCGAUACUGGGAAGCUAGAGUAUGGGAGAGGAUGGUAGAAUUCCAGGUGUAGCGGUGAAAUGCGUAGAGAUCUGGAGGAAUACCGAUGGCGAAGGCAGCCAUCUGGCCUAAUACUGACGCUGAGGUACGAAAGCAUGGGGAGCAAACAGGAUUAGAUACCCUAGU
rnacentral:rRNA from 1 species